ACUCGUCAUGCAUGUGGUACCAUUCGGAGUAAAACUCCCAACUUAAAAUUUGCCAAUUUAACGAGGCAUCAAGGCUUAAGCCUUCAACUUUCAAAUUUUGCCAAUCCAGGCCAACGUGGUGUGAGCAAAGCUCCGACUUAAUGCAUAUGAAUUCCGACAACAUGAUAAUAAUAGCAACACAACAAUGUUUUCAACAUAAU
rnacentral:lncRNA from 1 species